GAAAAAAUAAAAAUACAAAAAUAAAAACUAUGUGAUUAGCAUUUUCUUCCGCAGGAGACACAAAAUAGAAGCAUUCCUGUUUAGAAAUCUUAGCCAUAACUAUUCUUUGUAAACGCUUAACCAGACCAUUUCACUCAGGUGUACCUACAACAUGUUAGCUUCAUUUGCAAAUUCCCUGAAGGAAUUAAAGACCACAAAAAUAGAAUCCUUUAACAGAUGCAGCUCUUUAUUUUAAAAAUCAGUAUAAUCAUAGUCCACCUGAUUCGAAAUGCAUUCUGUGGAAAUUCAAUGUUACUUAAGUAAACAGCUAGUGGAACAGUAAUAAUUAUAGCUACAGGCAUUUAUGGAGCACCUAUCCCGUGCCAGGCACUGUCAGAUGUCCUUUAAAUACCUGAUCUCAAUUAACCCUCACCACAACCAAGAAUGAUUAAUUCUCCAAGGUCACAGUGCUGAUAAGAGGAAUUUAAGCCCAGAUUCCUUUUACUACAAAGCUUGAAGCUCUUUCCCCUGUUUGCCACAACAGCUUUCAUCCUAGGCAAAGUGGCCAGGACCCGAGCAUGGUUUCCACCUGCUGUUGUAGCCGUGCUCUCCCACCAGAUGACGCAAUCACCAGGUUAGACUUGAUCUCGAGGGAACCAGAGGAGGUUGUAAUUCACUACACCCACAAACAGAUUUAACUGAGCAAAUUACUCAACAGCCAGAGUUGAGGUAACUACAAAGCUGUGAUGAAGGGCUCCCAUUGUAAAAAUUCAAAUAAUUUUUUAAAACACAAGAAUACUUAUUAAAUGCCUAUUCUGUUUCCAGCAUUCUUUUAGGAACUGAAGAAGACAUUGGAUGGACUAUAUAAACAUUCAGCACAGAAGGAAAAUAUAAAUAACAUUUAUUCACCAUUGUUCUAGAAACAAAGCUACCUGUGUGUUCAGAACACAACACAGCAGUCCUGAAAUAGUAAUUGAAUCAGUAUUAUGAAAAUAAAUUACUCCAAAUACUUUUUCUAGUUCUCUCAGGCACAUGCAUUUCUCUAAUAUUGGAACUGCUGGUCAUUAAAGUAUGCAUGUUUUGGACUUUCUUGAUAAUACUGUUUUCCAAGGUAGUCAUAUGAAUUUAUAUCUGUACCAGCCAUCUAUGAAAGUCCCUACUGUUCAACAUCCAACUUUAAUUUAGGUAUACAGUGUUCUGGCACUGUGGCUGAAAUGUGCAUUUCCUUCAUUAACAUGGUUGAACACCUUUUCAUGUUUAUUAGACAUUUGGAUUUCUCCUUUUCUGAAGUGGCUGUUCAAGACUUUUGCCCAUUAUUCUAUUAGUGCCUGUAGCAUCUUGUUUAAGAAAUGUUUCUCUAUACUAAGGUCAUGAGUAUCUUCCUAUAUUAAUUCUAAAAGUGUUAUUGUUUUGCCUGCCUUUCUGCCAUGCCUCCAGGUCAUAAAUCAAGUGUCUGGCUAUGCAUAAUACUGUUUCUGGACUCCAUAUGGUGUUCUAUUGGUCCAUCAUUAUUAGCCUACCCAGUGCCAAUAUUACACUAUCUUUUUUUUUGAGAUGGAAUCUCGUUGUGUCGCCCAGGCUGGAGUGCAGUGGUGCGAUCUCGGAUCACUGCAAGCUCUGCCUCCUGGGUUCACACCAUUCUCCUGCCUCAGCCUCCCGAGUAGCUGGAACUACAGGCACCCGCCACCACACCUGGCUAACUUUUUGUAUUUUUAGUAGAGACGGGGUUUCACCAUGUUAGCC
rnacentral:lncRNA from 10 species